rnacentral:rRNA from 1 species
CACCAAGAAAUUAAGUCAUAUAUUAAUGGUAAAAAGACAGUUAGAUAUUUAGUUUUUUAGGUUGAUCUAAUGCUUUAUAUAGAGGUAAAAUUUUAGUAUAAUUGUAUAGUUUAUUAGUAACUUUAAAGUUGAAUCUGUGAAACCCUUAAGGGAAACUGGGAUUAGGUACCCCACUAUUUCUGGGUAUAAAUUGAUAAUGUUUACCAGAGUACUAUGAAUGUAAAAGAUUUAAAACUCAAAGAACUUGGCGGUGUUUUAGACCACUUAGGGGAACCUGUCUCAUAAUCGAUAAUCCACGAUAUACCUGACCUUUCUUUGUUACCAGUUUGUAUACCGUUGUCGUCAGGUAACUUUUUAGAAAUUAGAAGUUAGCAAUAUAGAGUAAUAAAAUAAUUCGUUACGUCAAAUCAAGGUGCAGCUAACAGAAAGGGGAGGAUGGGUUACAAUUAUGUAAAUUAUAAUGACGGAAGGAAAUAUGAAAUUUGUGUCGGUUGUAAGGUGGACUUAAAAGUAAAUUAAAUUAUAUAGAUAAUUUGAAUAAGGCUCUGAAACGCGU